GGAAGUGACUGGGGUCUGGUGGCCUCCUCGGACUUCAAAUCCGAUGGUCCUCGGUUAAUCCCGGGGACGGUGGGUUCGAUUCCCACACACUUCCGCCA
rnacentral:tRNA from 1 species